CGAGUGAGCAGAUACACGAACUUUGCUGGACUCCAGGAGGAGCUCGGCUCAACUACCAUGCUGAGAUUAGGCUGUACCACCAGGCUGCUGCAGGCCCCUCUGAGGGGCUGGGUAGUUCCCAAGGCGCACGUCUCUGCCAAGCCAGCCCGGACACCCACUUCUCCCACGGAGCAAGCCAUUGGGCUCUCUGUGAUGUUCCUCAGCUUCCUGAUUCCUGCGGGCUGGGUCUUAGCCCACGUGGACAGCUACAAGAGAAGCUCUGCAGCAUGAAGGCUCUGUACCUUGGGCUCGGGCACAGGGCCAACGGUCCCAUUAAACCCCUCCCUCCACCCAGUGUUCA